UACGUAGGUGACAAGCGUUGUCCGGAUUUACUGGGCGUAAAGAGCGCGCAGGCGGUCGAUCAAGUCGAGUGUGAAAGCCCCCGGCUCAACUGGGGAGGGUCAUUCGAUACUGAUCGACUCGAAGGCAGGAGAGGGUAGUGGAAUUCCCGGUGUAGUGGUGAAAUGCGUAGAUAUCGGGAGGAACACCAGUGGCGAAGGCGACUACCUGGCCUGUUCUUGACGCUGAGGCGCGAAAGCUAGGGGAGCAAACAGG
rnacentral:rRNA from 1 species